AGUGAACGCUGGCGGUAGGCCUAACACAUGCAAGUCGAACGGCAGCACAGUAAGAGCUUGCUCUUACGAGUGGCGAGUGGCGGACGGGUGAGGAAUACAUCGGAAUCUACUUUUUCGUGGGGGAUAACGUAGGGAAACUUACGCUAAUACCGCAUACGACCUACGGGUGAAAGCAGGGGAUCUUCGUACCUUGCGCGAUUGAAUGAGCCGAUGUCGGAUUAGCUAGUUGGCGGGGUAAAGGCCCACCAAGGCGACGAUCCGUAGCUGGUCUGAGAGGAUGAUCAGCCACACUGGAACUGAGACACGGUCCAGACUCCUACGGGAGGCAGCAGUGGGGAAUAUUGGACAAUGGGCGCAAGCCUGAUCCAGCCAUACCGCGUGGGUGAAGAAGGCCUUCGGGUUGUAAAGCCCUUUUGUUGGGAAAGAAAAGCAGCAGGUUCAGACCCCGCUGUUCUGACGGUACCCAAAGAAUAAGCACCGGCUAACUUCGUG
rnacentral:rRNA from 1 species